rnacentral:piRNA from 1 species
UCUCAGUCGUUGAUACAUUGA